UUACGAUCAUACUAUAUGGAAACACCGAUUCUCGUUCGAUCACCGAAGUUAAGCAACGUCCAACCUGGCCUGUACUUAGUUGGAUGGCCGCUUAAGAAUACCAGAUGCUACA